rnacentral:rRNA from 1 species
AGGACGAACGCUGGCGGCGUGCUUAACACAUGCAAGUCGAGCGGAAAGGCCCUUCGGGGUACUCGAGCGGCGAACGGGUGAGUAACACGUGAGUAAUCUGCCCUUAGCUCUGGGAUAGCUCCGGGAAACCGGGAUUAAUACCAGAUACAACCACUUUAGACAUCUGUUGUGGUGGAAAGAAUUUCGGCUAGAGAUGGGCCCGCGGCCUAUCAGCUUGUUGGUGGGGUAAUGGCCUACCAAGGCGACGACGGGUAGCCGGCCUGAGAGGGCGACCGGCCACACUGGGACUGAGACACGGCCCAGACUCCUACGGGAGGCAGCAGUGGGGAAUAUUGCGCAAUGGGCGAAAGCCUGACGCAGCGACGCCGCGUGAGGGACGAAGGCCUUCGGGUUGUAAACCUCUUUCAGCAGGGACGAAGCGAAAGUGACGGUACCUGCAGAGAAGCACCGGCCAACUACGCGCUAGCAGCCGC